rnacentral:piRNA from 1 species
UCCUGGUGACUUUGGAAAGCAACC